rnacentral:rRNA from 1 species
AACGAACGCUGGCGGCAUGCCUAACACAUGCAAGUCGAACGAGACCUUCGGGUCUAGUGGCGCACGGGUGCGUAACGCGUGGGAACCUGCCCUUAGGUUCGGAAUAACUCCCCGAAAGGGGUGCUAAUACCGGAUAAUGUCUUCGGACCAAAGAUUUAUCGCCUUUGGAUGGGCCCGCGUUGGAUUAGCUAGUUGGUAGGGUAAAGGCCUACCAAGGCGACGAUCCAUAGCUGGUCUGAGAGGAUGAUCAGCCACACUGGGACUGAGACACGGCCCAGACUCCUACGGGAGGCAGCAGUGGGGAAUAUUGGACAAUGGGCGAAAGCCUGAUUCAGCAAUGCCGCGUGAGUGAUGAAGGCCUUAGGGUUGUAAAGCUCUUUUACCCGGGAUGAUAAUGACAGUACCGGGAGAAUAAGCUCCGGCUAACUCCGUG